UACGAAGGGUGCAAACGUUGCUCGGAAUCAUUGGGCGUAAAGCGCACGUAGGCGGCUUCGCAAGUCGGAUGUGAAAUCCCUCGGCUCAACCGAGGACGUGCAUCCGAAACUGCAAAGCUUGAGUACAGAAGAGGAUCGCGGAAUUCCCGGUGUAGAGGUGAAAUUCGUAGAUAUCGUAAGGAAGACCAGUGGCGAAGGCGGGUCUCUGGACAGUUCCUGACGCUGAGGCACGAAGGCCAGGGGAGCAAACGGG
rnacentral:rRNA from 1 species